AUUGUAUCCAAUUGCUGGAAUGUAAUCAGGAACAAAUCUGUGCAGCCCUGGAAAAUGAGGCUGAUACAAAGCUGUGAUUCUCCGGCUAGUGAAUUUCCAGCGCAAGAGAGGGGCUUGCCCACCCCUCCCCAACACGGUGGGGAGACCGGAUGCUUGUUCGCUGUGGGCUGGGGGAGGGGAGUGGGGCAUCCCUGGCACAGGACCAUCCGCAACACAGCUGCUCAUGAUGCAGGAGGCAGGGGAGCCCGGGGUCUGUUUCGAGGGGAAGCAAACUUAAAAGAUGCAAUCUGCAGCAAGUACAUUUGAAUGGGACCUGCAAGACCAAGGAGGAAGUUUCUACCACCGAGCAGCUGGAGGCAGAGGUGGUAGAAGGGAAGUGAGGGAUUGGUACAUUCUAAUGAUCCACAGCUAAACACCUGCCUAAAAGGAGACAGUUAAAGACAAGAGCUCUGGGGGUAGUAUUGCAAUCUAAUAUUGUAGUGUCUCCCCAAAAACAUAUGUCCAUCUAGAACUUCAGAAUGUGACCUUAUUUGGAAAUAGUGUCUUUGCAGAUAUAACAAGCCACGAUGAGGUCAUUCUGGAUUGGGAAGGGCCCUAAAUCCAACAACUGGUGAUUUUAUAAGAAAAAACACACAGAGAUACACCCAGGGAAGAAGGCCAUGUGAUGACUGGGUCAGAGACUGAAGCAAUGAAGCUACAAGUCGAGGAUGCCAAGGAUUGUUGGUGGCCAUCAGAAACCAGGAAGAAGGGAGGAAGGGCUCUACCCAGAGUCUCAGAGGGAGCCUGGCCCUGCUGACACCUCGAUUUCAGAUUUCUGGCCUCUAGAACUGUGAGAGAAUACAUUCCUGUUGUAUGAAGCCACCCGGUUUGUGGUGCUUUGUUAUGGCAGUGUACAGAUAUGAAAGCAACAUAGAUAAGAAAUGUACAAGGUAGAACAUGCUACUUAAAUACAAGGUAGUGAAAUAUUUUCCUGUUGUGAUUUUUCCUUCAAUCUCCCAUGAUUCUCCGGCCUGCCCAAAGUGUUUAUUAAUUAGGUAGGAAACCCUAAAAGGAACCUAGAAGCCUCCUUUCUUUCUGCCUCACAUAGGGCUGUCCUGCAGUCCACAGGCCUGAGUCCACAGAGGCCAGGUCUGUGUUUGCUGCAGGCAGAUGCUUAUUCUCUGAGCUCAGGGGCGAGGAGGACGGAUGAGGGCAUCGAAAGCACUGAGAAAUGUCAGCCCAAUGCUCACUCAGUGGGCAGAGAGAAGGAUUUGCUGCCUAAUGAGAUUUGAAAAAUAUUUUCAAAGUAACUUUAAAGCCACUGGUUAGAAAAUUAGAUAAGAAACACAAUGGGGGCACCUGGGUGGCUCAGUCGGUCACUGGGUUCCCACUGAGUCUGACUUCGGCUCAGGUCAUGAUCUCUCGACUCGUGAUUUGAGCCCCUUAUUGGGCUCUGUGCUGACAGCUCAGAGCCUGGAGCCUGCUAUGGAUUCUGUGUUUCUAUCUCUCUCUGCCACUCCUCUGCUCAUGCUCUGUCUCUCAAAAAUAAGUAAAACAUUAAAAAAUUUAAAAAAAAGAAAGGAACACAAUGAAAGGGGGGAUGAUACCAGGUUAAGAGAGGAAAAGUGAUAUGUAGUAAUGGGGAGGGAGUCUGCCUGAUUUCCCCGUCUCACUAUUCCCCAUCUUUAAAACCUUUAAAAGGCCAGAGAGGUGCCGUUCCUGAUUUGGGGCAUCUGGGUCUACCUUCUUUUGGUCUCAGGUCCUACAAACCCUGCCUCCUACAGGGCAGCACAGCAUUCAAUGAAGGAAUGCUCUUUGCCUUCAAAUAUCUUCCCCACUUACUCUUCCCAACUUAGGAUUUCCCUACCUUAUGUUUCUCUAAUAAUUGACCAGCCCUUUAUUUCCACCCCAAAAUAAAACAAAACACCAAGGAGUUCA
rnacentral:lncRNA from 1 species